UACGAUAUAGAAUUAUUGACGAAUUAAAUAUGGUAAUAUUUGACCAACCUUUAUGUAUUGAUAAAUGGAGACGAAGAAAACAGAGGUGCCAAUGCUUGUUAUGUUUAGGGAGCUACCAUUUAAUUUUUAUAGGGGGGGGGGGGGGGCUAGGAUGAAAUUUGAAAAAAAUAGGCAGGACAGGAGUUUUGAGUAAAAAAAAAGGCAGGAUGAGACACUUGCAAAAAAAAAACCAGGACUACAAUUUAGGUAAUAAAAAGUCAGGAUAAACUAAAAAAAAAAGCAGAACCGAACAGAGUGAAAAAUAAAAAGGCAGGACAGAGAUUACAGCUAAACAAAAUGCAGGACAAAAUUUUUCAUCCUAGCUCCCCCAUAAAAAUCAAAUGGUAGUUCCCUUAAGGAUUUGAAAAAAAACCAGUUGCCUAUAUAGGUGCUUACAGUUAUUUAUAGUUGUUAUUUUCUGUGUCAUUUUGGUCUCAUGUUGAGAGUUGUCUCAUUGGCAAUCAUAC
rnacentral:lncRNA from 1 species